AUUUAAAACGAGAAAUUCAUCAUUUCUGGUUCACAUGUUGGUCGGACACUGGUCCACCAGAACCAUUAACGUUUGUCAAGUUUGUGUUAGAUACAAGACCACAUUACGAGAACAGCGGAUCUCCGGCACUCGUGCAUUGUGGUCCUGGUACAGGUCGCACAGGUACGUUUAUUGCUGUAGAUAUUUGUAUGAGAAUGUUUGAAGAUCGUAGAAGAGUUGACAUUCAAAGCUGUGUACAUAAACUGAGGGGUGAGAGAGCAGGGGCCGUGCAAACAAAAGAACAGUACUUCCUUAUAUAUCAGGCAUUAAACGAAUAUGCAGUGAUUUUAAGUAGUCCAUCAAUAUCAACAAGAUCGUCUGUUAUAACACUCCAUGCCAUGCUGUGAUCUGAACAUGUUUGUAGAGCCAGUGUUAUCAUCAGUUUAUACGGCAGGUUAUCUGACUUGUUUUAAAAACCAUUGACCUUUAGUUCAUUGAACCGUCUUUGAAUAAUUAUUUUGGUAUGGUGUACCGAUAGUGCCAUUUUCUUCUCGUGGCGGGCGAAAAGGCAAGAGUUCGAAAACACGACAGAACGACAAAGUCAAAAUGUUUAUGUACUUUCGGCAUUUUAUUUGACGUACAUUCACUUUCAUUUUAUCUUUCACAUAUUCGUCCAAUCGAACGGAAAUGCAAUAAUUAGAAAACUCAACAGAUAGUGACUUUGUAGUGUUAUCGCUAUUCCGAGUGGCAUAAUUAUAAAUGGCUAAUACAAGCCACCAUAGUUUUGUAAAUUUUGACCGAUAACUUAUUACCUAGGAUAACGAUAUCAAAUGAAUUUAUUUUUUACUUUUUAAUGACUUUAUAAACAAAAAAUUAUUUGAUUGAUAACCAUGAAUGGUUCACAUCAUUAUUGUUUCACUUAAUAUAUAUGUUUUAACCUUCAUACUGCGUAGUUUAAAAUCAUUCAC